rnacentral:rRNA from 1 species
AAGGGCAUCAUAGAGGGUGAUAAUCCCGUACAUGGCAUGGCAGUCGCCCGAAUCUUUGUGAUACGCUUUCUAAGAGUCGAGUUGUUUGGGAAUGCAGCUCAAAAUGGGUGGUAAAUGCCAUCUAAGGCUAAAUAUUGGGGAGAGACCGAUAGCGAACAAGUACAGUGAUGGAAAGAUGAAAAGAACUUUGAAAAGAGAGUUAAACAGUACGUGAAAUUGCCAAAAGGGAAGGGUAGGAGGUCAGAGAUGCGGCCUGGGAUUCAGCCUUGCUUUUGCUUGGUGUUUUUCCCAGAUUGCAGGCCAACGUCGGUUUUGGGCACUGGAGAAGGGUAGGAGGAACGUGGCACCUCUCGGGGUGUGUUAUAGCCUCCUACUGGAUACAGCGACCGAGACCGAGGACAGCAGCGUACUCGCAAGAGCGGGCCUUCGGGCACCUUUACGCUUAGGGCGUUGGCAUAAUGGCCCUCUACCACCCGUCUUGAAACACGGACCAAAACACGGUCUGUGUUUCCGGACGG